rnacentral:rRNA from 1 species
GAUGAACGCUAGCGGCAGGCUUAACACAUGCAAGUCGAGGGGCAGCACGGGUAGCAAUACCUGGUGGCGACCGGCGCAAGGGUCGUAACGCGUGAGCAACAUGCCCUAUACAGGGGGAGUAAUCCAGGGAAACUUGGUCUAAUAUCCCAUAGUAUUUAGAGGAGGCAUCUUCUAUAAAUUAAAGCUUCGGUGGUAUAGGAUUGGCUCGCGUGACAUUAGCUAGAUGGUGAGGUAACGGCUCACCAUGGCAAUGAUGUCUAGGGGUUCUGAGAGGAAGGCCCCCCACACUGGGACUGAGACACGGCCCAGACUCCUACGGGAGGCAGCAGUGAGGAAUAUUGGACAAUGGAUGGAAAUCUGAUCCAGCCAUGCCGCGUGCAGGAAGACAGCCCUAUGGGUUGUAAACUGUCUUUUAAUGGGAGCAAUAAGGUCUACGUGUAGACUGAUGAGAGUACCAUAUGAAUAAGC